GUGUUUGUUACUUGAGGGCGCAUGGUGGAUGCCUUGGCAUGCUGAGCCGAUGAAGGACGUGUGAGACUGCGUUAUGCCUCGGGGAGUUGUCAACAAAGCGUUGAUCCGAGGGUGUCCGAAUGGGGAAACCUGGCCACAGUUGUGUGUGGUCGCCUGCUGGUGAAUUCAUAGCCGGUUGGGAGGUGACGUCGGGAAGUGAAACAUCUCAGUACCGACAGGAGAGGAAAAUAAUAAUGAUUCUGCUAGUAGCGGCGAGCGAACGUGGAUGAGGCUAAACCGUGUGCGUGUGAUACCUGGCAGGGGUUGCGUGUGCGGUGUUGUGGGGUGCGGUUGUGGUGUUCUGCCAGGCACCGGUGCGCAUUGUUGUGUUAGCGGAAGUGGCCUGGGAUGGUCUACCGGAGUGGGUGAGAGUCCCGUACGUGAAGACAUGGUGGUGUGUGCUUGAUUGUGUCCCCGAGUAGCAGCGGGCUCGUGGAAUCUGCUGUGAAUCUGCCGGGACCACCCGGUAAGCCUAAAUACUCAGUGUGACCGAUAGUGGAUAAGUACCGUGAGGGAAUGGUGAAAAGUACCCCGGGAGGGGAGUGAAAUAGUUCCUGAAACUGUGUGCCUACAAUCCGUCAGAGCACCUCUUGUGUGUGAUGGCGUGCCUUUUGAAGAAUGAGCCUGCGAGUCAGCGGCAUGUCGCGAGGUUAACCCGUUGGUGGGGUAGUCGUAGCGAAAGCGAAUGCUAAUUGUGUGUUUUUAGUGGCAUGUCCUGGACCCGAAGCGGGGUGAUCUACCCAUGGCCAGUGUGAAGCAGCUGUAAGAGGUUGUGGAGGCGCGAACCCACGUAGGUUGAAAACUGCGGGGAUGAGCUGUGGGUAGGGGUGAAAGGCCAAUCAAACUCCGUGAUAGCUGGUUCUCCCCGAAAUGCAUUUAGGUGCAGCGUCGCGUUAGUGUGCCGGAGGUAGAGCUACUGGUUGGUUGAGCGGGACUAUCAUCUUAGCAAUGUCAGCCAAACUCCGAAUGCCGGUGACAUGGUGCGCGGCAGUGAGACUGUGGGGGAUAAGCUUCAUAGUCGAGAGGGAAACAGCCCAGACCGCCGGUUAAGGCCCCUAAGGGUGUGCUAAGUGGAAAAGGAUGUGUAAUCGCGAAGACAGCCAGGAGGUUGGCUUAGAAGCAGCCACCCUUGAAAGAGUGCGUAAUAGCUCACUGGUCGAGUGGUUGCGCGCCGACAAUGUAGUGGGGCUCAAGUACACCGCCGAAACCGCGGCAACAUGUUUUUGUUGGGUAGGGGAGCGUCGUGCAUGGGGUGAAGCGUGAUCGUAAGGGCGCGUGGACUGUGUGCGAGUGAGAAUGCAGGCAUGAGUAACGAAUGAUACGU
rnacentral:rRNA from 1 species